CACUGCUGCUAUAAGAUAGGCUACGCAGUGGGGAGGUGUUCUCUUUCUUCCGACUUCGUCAAUGCGAGGACGAUAGAAGUUGGAAAAUCAGAAUUCUAUGGACUAUAGUAGUGCCAAAUGUCUGCUUUGAGGUCACAUGAGAUUUUAGCCUUGGAUAUCGUUUGAGCUGGUGAAGCCUUGCUAACUACUAAAAGAAUCUGUCAACUUGUUGCAACAUUAAGGCUAAACCUUAUUGUGUCAGCACAUGGAGCCUGUGUCCAGGGGAAUAAUGCUCGACCUGUGCCUUUCCAGCUGAACGCUUGUUAAGUGAUGGAAUCCAAUUUAGUCAUGGAUUUUACUUGACUGACCGUGGCUUCACAUAAAAGGAACAUCUUGAAAACCAAAGGUUGAUAGAAUUCUGAGCUUCCAACUUUUUUCGACUAUGGUUGUGCAAAAUCUGUCUGCUUUGAGGGCACAUGAGAUUUUUAGCCUUGGACAUCGUGUGAGCUGGUGAAGCCUUGCUAACUACUACAAGAAUCUGUCAACUUGUUGCAACAUUAAGGCUAAACAUUAUUGUGUCAGCACAUGGAGCCUGUGUCCAGGGAAUAAUGCUCGACCUGUGCCUUUCCAGCUAAACGCUAUGUAAGUGAUGGUUGAUAAAAGUUGGAAGUUCAGAAUUCUAUGGACUAUAGUAGUGCAAAAUCUGUCUGCUUUGAGGUUGAUAAAAGUUGGAAGUUCAGAAUUCUAUGUACUAUAGUAGUGCAAAAUCGUCUGCUUUGAGGUCACAUGAGAUUUUAGCCUUGGAUCGAUAUUCAUAUAUGUGAGCUGGUGAAGCCUUGCUAACUACUAAAAGAAUCUGUCAACUUGUUGCAACAUUAAGGCUAAACCUUAUUGUGUCAGCACAUGAGCCUGUGUCCAGGGGAAUAAUGCUCGACCUGUGCCUUUCCAGCUGAAACGCUUGUUAAGUGAUGGAAUCCAAUUUAGUCAUGGAUUUUACUUGACUGACCGUGGCUUCACAUAAAAGGAACAUCUUGAAAACCAAAGGUUGAUAGAAUUCUGAGCUUCCAACUUUUAUCGACUAUAGUUGUGCAAAAUCUGUCUGCUUUGAGGUUGAUAAAAGUUGGAAGUUCAGAAUUGUAUGGACUAUAGUGCUACAAAAUCGUCUGCUUUGAGGACACGUGUGAUUCUGGCCUUGGAUAACGUGUGAGCCGGUGAAGCCUUGCUAACUACUAAAGGUUGUGAUGUGGAUUGAAUCUAGUGUACCUGGCACUGUGCUUGUGAUCCAAGGAUGUCCCAAGUGUCAGGUAUGU